rnacentral:misc_RNA from 1 species
GAAAUGCGAUAAGUAAUGUGAAUUGCGGAAUUCAGUGAAUCAUCGAAUCUUUGAACGCACAUUGCGCCCAUUAGUAUUCUAAUGGGCAUGCCUGUUCGAGCGUCAUUUCAACCCUCAAGCCUUAGUUGCUUGGUGUUGGGAGCUUAUCCUGCCGCAAGGCGGGACAACUCCUUAAAUUUAUUGGCGGAGUCGCGGUGACCCCAAGCGCAGUAAUUCCUUUUCUCGCUUUAGGUGUUAACGCUGGCUUCUAGCCAUUAAACCCCCUAAUUUUCUAAUGGUUGACCUCGGAUCAGGUAGGACUACCCGCUGAACUUAAGC